ensembl:lncRNA
GCGCGUGAAAAAAUGUUGCAUUUUAAUGGAGGACACGGUCGACUUCCGAGCGGGGUGGAAGUCGAGAUUUAAUGACAAUUUUUGCCUUGUUACAGCAGAUGGCUGCACAGAAAGACAAACGACUCGCCGCGUUUGUUGAUUGACGUGCGACGUACCCACACAGGUAGGAGCUUAAAUUUGAAAUCGCUUUGCUGACGACUGGGUUGUCCAAUCAUCGGGAAGCGGGGGCGGGAUAUAACCCCGUCAAUCAUGCAGAAACUAUAAUGGUUUGAAUAAGGAGGGAGGGGGAGAAUCCAAUCCGGUUUGAGCUAGUUCUUCUGCCAAUGGAACAUUACCGUCGCGCUACGCUGUAUUAGACUGUACUGGUACAGCUUUAUCCAGAAUAUACCACUGUAUCUUUCUCCUGUAUUGAGCAACAUUUAGCUCUUUUUUCUUAAAAAAAAAAAAAACUCACCCCACACAAACCAGCCAUGCCUAAAAGGAGCAAAGUGAGUAGACCGACAUCUUUCAUGCAUUCAGUAAUACGGCGUUUAUAACCCCCAAAUGCAAUGUGUAAGUUACAGCCAGCGGUCCGAGUUGUUACAAAAUACGUUUUUUUUGUUCCAGAUGAGUGUGUACAAUGUCGCCGCUUGCAUUCAGGAGUUUAGUUGAUGUGCUUGUCUGUUUUGAUGUCGUAAAGUGGCUGGUUCUCGGUGCUACAUCUUGAGCAGUGAUUAUCUUUGUGCCGAGUGGUUUCCCCCCGUGUCGGAUUUUAUAUUUAUACUGCAAGAUGGUGAAAUCCAGUUACAAUUGCGUGUAAAUUACGUUAACUUGCAGCGUAGGACCAGGCAGGGACGUUUUCUCAGUCGACGGGCUGCUUUUUCUGCAUAGAAAGUUGGCGGCAUAUUGAUUGUUUCCUAUGGGGGUCGUCGCGCUGGCCACUAAAGUUUCUAAAACGCAUACUGAAAUUUAAAGGAUGUUAUUCGGUGGGUUUAAGGCUUUUACGCUAAGCCAGUGGUUAUCGCGUGGGAAACGAGUCCUUUAAAGGCUGUCUCGUGGAUCAAACUCGUUUUUUUAAACGAUAAUAUGCGAAUGGCGCUUCCCUAAAACCUAACAUGCAUGUGUUGUUUUUGUUAAUGAAUGGCCGCCCUUUUAUCAACGUUGAAAAAAAUGAAUUUCUUGGGAGGCGGUCGUCGUGUCCGCCGAGUGUCUUUAUGUGUAGUCGGCUCAGGCCAGUCGAAGGGUUAUGCAAUGGCGAGCCUCCGUCAGCAAAGCGCCUGCUCCUGUUGCUGGGGGUUCUAGUAGAAUCUGCUACCAGAUCGACGGAGUCGCCGCUGAGCGUCUCGUAGUGACUCUUUUCAAAUUCGUGGCGGGAGCCGCUCGCUGCACGGCUCGGUUUCGCUCCGUAAACUGGCAAUCCCGUUUUAUUACCAAUGAAUGGAUGCGCUCGCGGGGAGGCGGAGUUCCACAGCGCAGACAAAUCACAGGAGGCGCGAGAGCGCGACCUCAGGCCGCGGCCUAAACUACACUUUGCUGUGUGUAGAAUGCAGACUUCCAUUGCUGUUGCUGUGUAGACAAAUGUACUUCCGCAUUGAUUCGUUCUGCUGAGUGCCGAGUAUAAUGUGUAAUGGGCGUGAUUGAGAAGUGAGUCUUGCUCUUCCGUGGUUACCAGUCCUAUUGUUCCGAGAUUUAGAACAUAUCUCAGCCAAUCACAGCGGCCGGUCUGAGCUCAAUCAUGUAUGAAGCUCGCCGUACACCCAUAGGCCAAUGUUCUGUCGGGAAACGCCCACUUUUGAGUUACAUAACUAAUACUUAAAUCCCAUGACCUUCUACCCCCCAUCAACUCACCAUAGGCACAUUAAAAUGCAGAAAAAUGCUGUAACUGGAUUUCUUUGAUUGUUUUGUCUCUAACAGGCAGGGGGAGAAACAGUGGCCAAGAGGAGAUCUCUCAGGUUGAGUGAAAAACCUGCACCUUCAAAGGCAGAGGCCAAACCUAAGCCCAAGAAGGCACCUGCUAAGCCUAAAAAAGCCAAGGAGGUGGAGAAGGCAAAGCCCGAGGAGAAAGCACCAGAGGCCCCCGCUGAGAAUGGUGAAGCCAAAGCCGAGGAAGAGGCACCGGCCACAGAAGAAGCGGACGAAAAAGAUGAUGCGGCAGAAUAACAUCUCUCAAACCACGUCUUUGCCAGUGCUCCCUGUACCUCUUUUCUUGUACAAUUCAGGGGAAUAUUUUUAUCAACUAUUUUCUAAAUACAGGUUUUUUAGUAGUUUGAUUGUAGAGAACACUUUUUUUUAAUGAAAGAAAAAAAAGUCAAUUUGGAGACGGGAAUUUCGUCACAUCCCACAAUUUUGCAUCGCCACAAAAAAUCGCGGUUGUUGUUUCUGUCAGUGGAUUUCGUUUCAUUUUUAAAUGUGAAGAGGGCGGGGAGGGGUUGCAGGACAGGUUACUGUGUCGGCGCUUAAGCACAGCGUUCACAGCAGCUGGGGCAACAACCAGAGGAGCUUGUCCACGUGGAUUACAUUCCAUAUGCUUUAUAAGGGACAAUGUGUGUAAUCUGUGCGGGGUGGGAAUAGACAAAGUCACAGGGCAACUCAUUGUUUUAUUGUUCAUAAUGAAGAACUGUGUUUUAGAAUGUUUGUAAGCUUUGUUCCUAUAUGUUAUCUCUUGUACUCAUGCAGAUUUUCAAUGAAUCUGAUCAAUAAAGCUAAAAAUCCCUAGUACUCGAGCUCUCCUUAUCAAAACUGCAUCGCGUGUGUUGGUUGUGUCUCUGUUUCUGUGAUAGCAUCGCAAUAAAUUUGUAUAGCUGCUGUGAAAAAAAAGGUUUUCAAUCUUUCUAUAUGCAUUGUGUAAUGGUACAUAGUAAGGAUGGUAAAAAUGGAAUUUGUUUUCUUAGCCAGGAUAAUGAGGUGUGUAACCAUCAAAAACAAACUUGAGAUUGGCGUCUUUAAGGCCAACCGACAAACUGUACAUUUAUUUGAGAUGUCAAAUGCAUACCAGCAGUAGCAAUAUUAAUGUGGGUUUUAGAUAUCUGUAUCAAGUACACGUGUGCCGUUCAUUUUUAUUUGUUUAUAGAUGUACCUGUGUAAUGAUUGUUAUCAACAAACCAAUAAAACUCUGUUGGUAGUUGUUUCAUUCUGAGGCGUCGGUUUAUGAGCGAGGUUGCUGAAAGAUUGCUGUAACUGUUUCUAAAAGUUAAUGAAAGGGAGAAUACAAUAAAUAUUGAUAUUUAUAACAUAGAAAUGUGCUUGCCGCUUCCGCAUUGAUAGUGAUUUGUUAAAUCACCAAGCAAGCACCUACACUAUAACAAAUGUUUUCUACAUGUAAAAUAAAACUUGAUUCAUUAUCUG